GGGAUAGACUUAUCGUCUUCGUCAUCUUCCCACCUAAUAGAGGGCUCGAUCUCUGACAAAAAUGACGAAGUUCAUAUCCUUCUCUGACACCAACAAUGGAGUCUCCAGAGGUCAAGUGGCUAUAAUGGACUUAAAGGAUCUCUUUGUGGGUCUUCAAUGCAUCGUUUUGUCUUCUGUCAUAAUCAAUCAAAACGUUCUGAUUACAGAUUCAUCGCCUUUAUCACCCUUCUUAACUCCAUCCAUCCACAUCAACCACGAUCUGACAUUCAAAGCAGCUUGCUCUUCUUCAAUAAAAGUUACAUGAGUUCCAACAAGCGGUUCAGUCUAGCUAAAGGUUUGAAAGAUGAAAUUCAGACAUGCAACUUGAGUUUAUUUUCGCUAUGGAGACUCAGGUUGUGAAGAUAGAUCCCACCUAUAAAAGAUUGAGUUCAGAUACUGAAACCAACCUCCAAGAAGAGAAAGUUGCUUCGUUUUCUCAUACAGCUUCCAAUUCAAAGGGUUUUUAGUUCACAAUCUGUCUCUCUUGCCUCUAUCUGUCUCUGUUUUUAGUUCAUACAGCUUCCAAUUCAAAGGGUUUUUAGUUCACAAUCUGUCUCAUACAGCUUCCAAUCCCACCUAUAAGAAAGUUUUCUUCUUUGUUUAUGUUGUGUUGGUUGUUGCAAAAUAUAUGUAUCUCGAAAUCUAUCCAUUAACAUUGCUGAUUUUGGACUGGCAGGAGAGGUUAAUCCAAUUUCACAUUUAUUGAGUAUUGCAGUGGCUCUGCUCUAGGAUCCAUGCAACAGACCGGCUUCUGCAGGGGCUCUGUACGUCCCGUUCUUUCAGCUUUCUUAUUCAUCUGGAAAACCAACCUGGUUGAGCACAAGGAAGAAGGCCAAAAAGAAAAUGAAAAGACAUGCGAAGGCAUAUCAAAGCAUAAUCUUUGAUCUUUCAGAACCAGAAGUUAUCCCUCAAGAAUCCCACCAAGAGUCUCGUGCCUCCACUGAAAUCCUUUUUGUAUGUUGUCCUUUCUGAAGAAUUAUGGAAGACCCAAGAGAGAGAGAGCAAGAGACGUCAGGUAAAAAGAAAGAUCAAGUUGCAUACAUUUAACUGCAUUAAAGUAAACUUGACUGCUUCCACCGGUAAUAUUUAAUUUUCCUUUUGUGUUGUUUUUAUUCUGGAUGAAGAAUAGAGAGCUCCAUCUAUAGUUGUUUUGAAAGAAAAUAGAUUCACGUGUAAAUUUGGUUUAUUUUGGUUAAGAAUUGUAUUUUAACAUAAAUGUAAAAGAUUAACUAAAUAACAUGUAUAAAAGAUAGUUUAACAAAGUAAUUA